AUCAGGUAUUACCAAAUUCUCUUGCCAGAAUAUUUUCUCUGUAGUGAAGAAUAUUGAAUUCAAUUUUAAUCUACUAUCUAUGUACUUUGCACUAUGUCUCAGGUUAAGUUACGAUUUCUUAUUUAAUCCGCCACUAAAAGUGCAAGUUUGUAGUAUUUUUUUAAGCUAACAUUGAUACCUACCGAGUUUUAAAUUCAAAUCGUCACCAAAUAAAAAAAAAAAUGUUUUCAAAGAACUGGAGAAUGUCGGCGAUUGUGGUUUUAAUUGUAGUGAUUUCAGCAUACAUUGGUUUCAUUUAAUUAAAUGGUUGCAUAUUAUUAUAGUGCACCAUAUUACUGCGGAGAACGGUGCAUCAGAUCUCAAUCGAACGUUAACACUGGAGGAAAGGGAGAAAAAGGCAGAAGAAAGGCUGCAAAGGGCAGUAGAAAGGCUGCAAAGGGCAGAAAAAAUGAAGCAAGAUGCAGAAAAAAUGAAGCAAGAUGCAGAAAAAAUGGAGCAAGAGGUAGUAGAAAGGGAGCUAAGAGCCAAAGAAAUGGAGAAAUGGGCAGAGGAAAUCGUCGCUAGUUACAUAGAUUCAACUCUCAUCCCAAAAAAGGAUUUACGUGUGUUGGCGGCUAAACAUUUCAAUGUAACUGUAUCAGAACAAUCGGGCUCGUUUGCAACCGACAAGGAUCCAGCUGAAAUGAACUUUUCCUCGCUGCUAGAGGAAUACAACAACAACGUCAACAUUAAUUACUGAAAUAAAUUUAAGAUGUUGACAGAGUUUUUGGAAGAUUGAUUUUUUUUUUCAAUAUUCAUUAUGUAAAAUUUUGUUUGCUGUGUUGUUUUAAUUGUUUAAAUCAAAAUAAAAUCAUGUUUUGUUAUCAAAAUCUCAAUGUAAGAUAUCGAAUAAUUGGUCAAAAGUCGAAUGGAUCAAUGAAUUUAAGAAUGUUUUCCAUCUGUUUGAUAUUGUCAGGAAUUGUAGGGUUGAGGUCUGAAAUGUUUAAGGAUUGGCGUUUUGUUUUGAGGGAGGGACAAUAGAAUAGAUGGUGUUGAGUGGAGAUUAUUUCAGAAUUACAGAAUUGACUGGUGGGUUUAGGAGCUUUGGUAUAUAAAUGGUUAUGGGUUAAUUUGGCAUGACCAAUUUGAAGGCGGGUGAUUAUAAUUUUUUCUGAUCGAUUUAGGUGACUAGUACAUACACUACACAUUGAUUUUUUUUUUCAAUCAGAUAGGUACCUAGUUGAUAAGUCUAUCUAAUCUACCAACAGAUAUUACCAAAUUCUCUUGCCGGAAUAUUUUCUCUAUAGUGAAGAAUAUUGAAUUCAAUUUUAAGCUACUAUCUACAUACUUUGCCCUAUGUCUCAUGUUAAGUUACGAUUUCUAAUUUAAUCCGCUUGUAAAAGGGCAAGUUUGUAGUAUUUUUUUUUUUUAAAGAACAUUGAUACUUACCGAGUUUUAAAAUCAAAUCGCCACCUAAUAAAAAAUGUUUUCAAAGAACAGCUAUAGGAGAAUUUCGGCGAUUGUGGUUUUAAUUGUAGCGAUUUCAGCAUUCAUUGUGCACCAUAUUACUGCGGAGAACGAUGCAUCAGCUGAUCUCGAUCCAAAGUUAACACUGAAGGGAAGGGAAAAAAUGGCAGUAGUGAUGCUGCAAAAGGCAGUAGAAAGGGAGCAAAAGGUAGCAGAAAUAGAGCAAAGGACAGUAGAAAGGUUGCAAAGGGCAGUAGAAAGACAGCGCCAGUUACGUGGAUUCAACUCUCGUCCCACAAAACGAUUUACGCGCUUUAGCGGCUUAACUCAAUCUAAAAGUAUAAAAAAAUAGUCUGGCUCGUUUGCAACGGACAUGGAUCCAGCUGAAAUGGACUUUUCCUCUAGCAGCAACAUCAACAACUAAAACUACUUACAUCAACGUCAUAACGUCAAGAUCCUAAUCACCGCAAUGCAUUCAAGAUGUUGACAGAAUUUUUGGAAGAUUGAUUGAUUUUUUUUCAAUAUCAAUUAUGUAAUAUUUUGUUUACUGUAUUGUUUCAAUUGUUUGAAUUCGAAAUAAGAUCAUGAUUUUGGUGUCAAAAUCUCAGUCUUGUAACAUAUUGAAUUGGUCAAAAGUCAAAACCACUUCAAGUCCUGAUAUAUGUAA